rnacentral:rRNA from 1 species
UAGCAAUACGUGGCAUACGGCUCAGUAACACGUAGUCAACAUGCCCAGGGGACGUGGAUAACCUCGGGAAACUGAGGAUAAACCGCGAUAGGUCAUAAUAUCUGGAAUGAUUUAUGGCUCAAAUCUACAUGGCCCCUGGAUUGGACUGCGGCCGAUCAGGCUGUUGGUGAGGUAAUGGCCCACCAAACCUAAAACCGGUACGGGCUCUGAGAGGAGAAGCCCGGAGAUGGGCACUGAGACAAGGGCCCAGGCCCUAUGGGGCGCAGCAGGCGCGAAAACUCUGCAAUAAGCGAAAGCUUGACAGGGUUAUUCUGAGUGAUUUCCGCUAAGGAAAUCUUUUGGCACCUCUAAAAAUGGUGCAGAAUAAGGGGUGGGCACGCCUGGUGUCAGCCGCCGCGGUAAUACCAGCACCCCGAGUGGUCGGGACGAUUAUUGGGCCUAAAGCAUCCGUAGCCGGUUCUACAAGUCUUCCGUUAAAUCCAUCUGCUUAACAGAUGGGCUGCGGAGGAUACUAUGGAGCUAGGAGGCGGGAGAGGCAAGCGGUACUUAGUGGGUAGGGGUAAAAUCCGUUGAUCCACUGAAGACCACCAGUGGCGAAGGCGGCUUGCCAGAACGCGCUCGACGGUGAGGGAUGAAAGCUGGGGGAGCAAACCGGAUUAGAUACCCGGGUAGUCCCAGCUGUAAACGAUGCAGACUCGGUGAUGAAUAGGCUUCGUGCCUUUUCAGUGCCGCAGGGAAGCCGUUAAGUCUGCCGCCUGGGGAGUACGGUCGCAUGACUGAAACUUAAAGGAAUUGGCGGGGGAGCACCACAAGGGGUGAAGCCUGCGGUUCAAUUGGAUUCAACGCCGGA